GCAUCGUAAAGAGCCUGACUUUGUCAACGGCUCCUUUUGUGGAGGAACUUUCAUGUCUUUCAGUCGGAGGAAGUCUUCUCUAUCGGUGGCGUCAAUCCAACUAUUAUCAUUUGCACUCACCCUCAGAUUUUUUCAAGUGAAAGGAAAGCCCCAAGGCAAAGAAGAAGCAAAGAAAAAUUAGGUCUUCCAAUCAUAGAUGGAAGAAGGCCAGUAACGAAAGACAUACCCUUCUUCGAAAAAAAGAACCACUAACUCUCGAUCUUAGGAUGUGGGCGGAGGA
rnacentral:lncRNA from 1 species